GGGUUUUUUAUUUUAUACUUCAAAUCUUGAAUUUAUUUUUUAUGUUUUUGAAUGUUUGAUUUAAAAAAAUAUAAAAAAUACAAUAGAUAUUGACAUGGAUUAAACAAAGAUAUAUAUUAUUCUAUGUUGCAUAAACAAAUUGGCAAAGUAG
rnacentral:misc_RNA from 1 species